GAACAGAAAAAUCUCUCUUUCUCUUUCUUGAUCUGCUACGGUGAAGUCUAUGGUGC
rnacentral:misc_RNA from 1 species